GGGGGUGAAAGGCCAAUCAAACCGGGAGAUAGCUGGUUCUCCCCGAAAGCUAUUUAGGUAGCGCCUCGUGAAUUCAUCUCCGGGGGUAGAGCACUGUUUCGGCUAGGGGGCCAUCCCGGCUUACCAACCCGAUGCAAACUGCGAAUACCGGAGAAUGUUAUCACGGGAGACACACGGCGGGUGCUAACGUCCGUCGUGAAGAGGGAAACAACCCAGACCGCCAGCUAAGGUCCCAAAGUCAUGGUUAAGUGGGAAACGAUGUGGGAAGGCCCAGACAGCCAGGAUGUUGGCUUAGAAGCAGCCAUCAUUUAAAGAAAGCGUAAUAGCUCACUGGUCGAGUCGGCCUGCGCGGAAGAUGUAACGGGGCUAAACCAUGCACCGAAGCUGCGGCAGCGACGCUGAUGCGUUGUUGGGUAGGGGAGCGUUCUGUAAGCCUG
rnacentral:rRNA from 1 species